rnacentral:rRNA from 1 species
GACGUAGGGUGCGAGCGUUUGUCCGGAUUUAUUGGGCGUAAAGAGCUUGUAGGCGGUUUGUCGCGUCUGCUGUGAAAUUUCGGGGCUCAACCCCGAACUUGCAGUGGGUACGGGCAGACUAGAGUGCGGUAGGGGAGACUGGAAUUCCUGGUGUAGCGGUGAAAUGCGCAGAUAUCAGGAGGAACACCGGUGGCGAAGGCGGGUCUCUGGGCCGUAACUGACGCUGAGGAGCGAAAGCAUGGGGAGCAAACGGG